ACUCUAAGCAGUCGAUCACUCGGCUCACAGGUCGAUAAAGAACGCAGCCAGCUGCGAGAUUUGGUGUGAAUUGCAAGACACAUAAACACUGAUUCAUUG